UGACCACAACCGCCGUAGGCUAACGCCUGUUGACAUCGUCCGUCGGUUACCCCACAUUGGUGUCAGAAGUGGGAUUGCAAAGAAGUCCCGUAGGAACCGAGGAGGACGAUUUAACUUGUGGUAUUAAAUUUUCACUUCAAAAUGGCUAGUGAGAAUCAGCCCGACACAGCAACUAGGGAGACAGCUCCUGGAUCUUUCUCCGCGUUCGCUCCAAUGCUGCAAAGCUUCGGUGGCGAAACAACAUCGCGAGUAACUGAUUUUUUUGACGUCAUAGAUGAAAUCGGGCAGUUAGCGUCAUGGUCUGACCGACAGAAGUUAGGGAUCGCAAAAUGCAAGCUGACAGGCAUUGCGC
rnacentral:lncRNA from 1 species